CUGUAUCUAGGCACCCUUCACGCCCAGCAAGCCGAAAUGCUUUUGGUGAGAAUGUAGAUAACAUUGGUUCAGCAGAGGCUGAGCUGGUUCAUAUGCGUCAUAAAUUGACAUCUGCAGACCCUGUACGCUCUGCUUCAAAUGUUCAGACCUCAUCUGCUUCUCAACAUGUUGGACCGCCCACAUCAUAUUCUUAUGCUGCUGCUUUGGGAGCUUCCUUGUCAAGAAGCUCCACUCCUGAUCCUCAACACAUUGCUCGGGCUCCUAGUCCUUGUCUUACACCCAUUGGAGGAGGCAGGAUAGGAAAUUCUGAAAAAAGAAGCAUUAAUGGCCCUAAUGCCUUAAAUGACACUUCUACUCACAUAAAUGAGUCUACUGACCUGGUAACUGCUUUGUCAGGCAUGGGUCUUUCAGCUAGUUCUAUGGAUGAGGAGAAUAAUUUACCGUCUCGAAUUAAACAAGAAGUUGAUGACCAUGAGAAUUUCUUCAAUCUUCCAGGUGGUCAGAAUAACCUGAAGCAGCAUGCAUACCUGAAGAAAUCUGAAUCUGGGCAAUUCAAUAUGUCUUCUGUUCUUCAGCAUGCAAAAAUGAUGCCUUCUGACGCUGGUGUAAGCAAUGGCGAUGGUUUGGAUGUCAGCAACUCUUCUUUUCAAACUGAGCUGCACAAAACCAGUGCUUCUUCUAAUAAAACAUGGUGGUGUUGUUGGUGGCAGUAGUGGCAAUAGCUCUGCCUUUGCUGAGUAUGCAAGAAAUAAGAGUGGUAAUGGUUUCAUGUCAGAGGAGGAGCUUAGGUCCGAUCCUGCAUAUCUUAGAUAACAUUGGUUCAGCAGAGGCUGAGCUGGUUCAUAUGCGUCAUAAAUUGACAUCUGCAGACCCUGUACGCUCUGCUUCAAAUGUUCAGACCUCAUCUGCUUCUCAACAUGUUGGACCGCCCACAUCAUAUUCUUAUGCUGCUGCUUUGGGAGCUUCCUUGUCAAGAAGCUCCACUCCUGAUCCUCAACACAUUGCUCGGGCUCCUAGUCCUUGUCUUACACCCAUUGGAGGAGGCAGG
rnacentral:lncRNA from 1 species